GUUUGAGCUUAUUGGAGCUUACUUGAGGCUAGCCAAACUUUGGGUGGGAGUUUGGUGAAUUUGGAUGUAGUUCCUGUGACUGCAGGUACACCUGACUUUGAGGAAGACCCUGUAGCUGCGUAUUUGAGAUACUACGAUUGAAGCACUUCGCGAUAGUCGUACUGAGUUGGACUAUGGAGUUCACUCUUUUGGGGUAUUUUGUAUAUGGCUUGUGACGUAGGUGUCACAUAUUCUUUUGUGUAGCCAUUCUUUUGUAUUAAGGGGUAGAUGUAAACCUUAAACUGUUAGACAGAUAUGGCUCUUUUGUAUGAACCACUAGUUAAUUUUAGAUGUGCUUUCCGUUA